GACGAACGCUGGCGGCGUGCUUAACACAUGCAAGUCGAGCGGUAAGGCCCUUUCGGGGGUACACGAGCGGCGAACGGGUGAGUAACACGUGGGUGACCUGCCCUCAGCUCUGGGAUAAGCCUGGGAAACCGGGUCUAAUACCGGAUAUGACUCCAUGACGCAUGUCGUGGGGUGGAAAGCCUUGUGCGGCUGGGGAUGGGCCCGCGGCCUAUCAGCUUGUUGGUGGGGUGAUGGCCACCAAGGCGACGACGGGUAGCCGGCCUGAGAGGGCGACCGGCCACACUGGGACUGAGACACGGCCCAGACUCCUACGGGAGGGCAGCAGUGGGGAAUCUUGCGCAAUGGGCGAAAGCCUGACGCAGCGACGCCGCGUGAGGGAUGACGGCCUU
rnacentral:rRNA from 1 species